rnacentral:rRNA from 1 species
UACAGAGGGGGCAAGCGUUGUUCGGAAUUACUGGGCGUAAAGGGCGCGUAGGCGGCCCGCUAAGUCGAACGUGAAAUCCCCGAGCUCAACUCGGGAACUGCGUCCGAUACUGGUGGGCUUGAAUCCGGGAGAGGGAUGCGGAAUUCCAGGUGUAGCGGUGAAAUGCGUAGAUAUCUGGAGGAACACCGGUGGCGAAGGCGACUACCUGGCCCAUUCUUGACGCUGAGGCGCGAAAGCUAGGGGAGCGAACGGG